GUGGGGAAUAUUGGGCAAUGGGGGAAACCCUGACCCAGCAACGCCGCGUGAGGGAAGAAGGUUUUCGGAUUGUAAACCUCUGUCCUUGGUGACGAAGGAAGUGACGGUAGCCAAGGAGGAAGCCCCGGCUAACUACGUGCCAGCAGCCGCGGUAAUACGUAGGGGGCAAGCGUUGUCCGGAAUGACUGGGCGUAAAGGGCGUGUAGGCGGCCGAUUAAGUCUGGAGUGAAAGUCCUGCUUUCAAGGUGGGAAUUGCUUUGGAGACUGGUUGGCUUGAGUGCGGAAGAGGUAAGUGGAAUUCCCAGUGUAGCGGUGAAAUGCGUAGAGAUUGGGAGGAACACCAGUGGCGAAGGCGACUUACUGGGCCGUAACUGACGCUGAGGCGCGAAAGCGUGGGGAGCGAACAGGAUUAGAAACCCCUGUAGUCC
rnacentral:rRNA from 1 species